rnacentral:rRNA from 1 species
CGUAGGUGCAAGCGUUGUCCGGAAUUAUUGGGCGUAAAGAGCUCGUAGGCGGUUUGUCGCGUCUGCUGUGAAAUCUGGGGCUCAACCCCCAGCCUGCAGUGGGUACGGCAGACUAGAGUGCGGUAGGGAGAUUGGAAUUCCUGGUGUAGCGGUGGAAUGCGCAGAUAUCAGGAGGAACACCGAUGGCGAAGGCAGAUCUCUGGGCCGUAACUGACGCUGAGGAGCGAAAGCAUGGGAGCGAACAGGAUU